rnacentral:rRNA from 1 species
UACAGAGGUCUCAAGCGUUGUUCGGAUUCAUUGGGCGUAAAGGGUGCGUAGGUGGUGAGGUAAGUCGGAUGUGAAAUCUCCAGGCUCAACCUGGAAAUGGCAUUGGAAACUACCUUGCUAGAGGGUUUGAGGGGGGACUGGAAUACUUGGUGUAGCAGUGAAAUGCGUAGAUAUCAAGUGGAACACCAGUGGCGAAGGCGAGUCCCUGGAAAAUACCUGACACUGAGGCACGAAAGCUAGGGGAGCAAACAGG